ACAUGUUAUACAGCAUACAUAACACCUUAUAAUGCCUGGACCAAGCCUGUGUAAUUGCUCGUAAACAGAUAUAGUUACAUGCAUAACGCCUUAUAAAGCAGAGGUAUACGGUAUGACUUCAUAAUGUCAGGUUACAUUAUAAUGUGUUAUAACACAAUAAAGACACUGUGAUGCCCAAUCACGUUACACUUGAAACUGAUGAAACAUUUUUUUAACCAACACAUUUUGGAACCAUUUCUUUGGAAUCCUGUAUUCAUAAGAUAUGCAUUUAUGAAAUGUUAUAUAGCGUAUAUGACACCUUAUAAUGCCUGGUAUAAGCUUGUGGAGUUGCUCAUAACUAGCUGUUGUUACAUGCAAAACACCUGAUAAAGAAUGAGUACAGAGUAUGACGUGUCACGUUAAGUUAUAAUGCAUUAUAACACCUGUUCAUAAGGACAUUGUAAUGCACUAUAACACCGCAUAACAGGCUUAUGUAACUGCUCAUAAAUAGUUAAUGUUGCAUGUAAAACACUCGAUAAAGAAUGACUACAGAGCAUGACUUCUCACGUUAAGUUAUAAUGCAUUAUAACACCUGUUCAUGAGGACAUUGUAAUGCACUAUAACACCGCAUAACAGGCUUAUGUAACUGCUCAUAAAUAGUUAGUGUUGCAUGCAAAACACUUGAUAAAGAAUCAGUACAGAGUAUGACGUGUCACGUUACGUUAUAAUGCAUUAUGAUACCUGUUCAUAAGGACAUUGUAAUGCACUAUAACACUGCAUAACAGGCUUAUGUAACUGCUCAUAAAUAGUUAGUGUUGCAUGCAAAACACUUGAUAAAGAAUCAAUACAGAGCAUGACUUCUCACGUUAAGUUAUAAUGCAUUAUAAUACCUGUUCAUAAGGACAUUGUAAUGCACUAUAACACUGCAUAACAGGCUUAUGUAACUGCUCAUAAAUAGUUAGUUGUUGCAUGUAAAACACUCGAUAAAGAAUGAGUACAGAGCAUGACUUCUUACGUUAAGUUAUAAUGCAUUAUAAUACCUGUUCAUAAGGACAUUGUAAUGCACUAUAACACUGCA
ensembl:lncRNA